rnacentral:rRNA from 1 species
UGGAGCAUGUGGUUUAAUCCGAAGCAACGCGAAGAACCUUACCAGGUCUGACAUCCCGAUGCUAUUCUAGUAGAUAGAAAGUUACUUCGGUACAUCGGUGACAGGUGGUGCAUGGUUGUCGUCAGCUCGUGUCGUGAGAUGUUGGGUUAAGUCCCGCAACGAGCGCAACCCCUAUUGUUAGUUGCCAUCAUUCAGUUGGGCACUCUAGCGAGACUGCCGGUAAUAAACCGGAGGAAGUGGGAUGACGUCAAAUCAUCAUGCCCCUUAUGACCUGGGCUACACACGUGCUACAAUGGUUGGUACAACGAGUUGCGAGUCGGUGACGGCGAGCUAAUCUCUUAAAGCCAAUCUCAGUUCGGAUUGUAGGCUGCAACUCGCCUACAUGAAGUCGGAAUCGCUAGUAAUCGCGGAUCAGCACGCCGCGGUGAAUACGUCCCCGGGCCUU